rnacentral:lncRNA from 1 species
UCAAGAAUCUGCAGUACUACUGGUAACAGAAUGCUACCCUUUCCCUCUGCCUUUGUAGGGUUAUGCUGAGAAGGAGAAGGCCACAGCAAAGGGUCUGGAGGAUGUGAAGGCUAACUUCUACUGUGAAUUAUGUGACAAGCAGUAUCACAAACACCAGGAAUUUGACAACCACAUCAAUUCCUAUGACCAUGCUCACAAGCAGCGACUGAAAGAUUUAAAACAAAGGGAAUUUGCUCGAAAUGUGGCUUCAAAGUCAUGGAAAGAUGAGAAGAAACAGGAAAAAGCACUCAAGCGGCUCCACCAGCUUGCUGAAUUACGGAAGCAGUCUGAAUGCAUCACAGGCAGCAGACCAGUGUUUAAAGCUCCCAGGCUGGUGGUGGAAAAGCAACAACUGCAAGAAGGAAUUUUCAUCGAUAAAAAUGGCAGAAUCACAGCAGGUACCAAGAGUGUGGUUCUUUGUGAAG